ensembl:snoRNA
UGGACCAAUGAUGAUCACUGAUGGCAUAUGAAGGAGGUACUAUGAUUGCUAUGUGUCUGGAAGUCUGAGGUCCAC